UUUUGUAGGAAAGAAGAGGGAUUCUGGUGAAAAAUGGGUCUGAGGGAGUAGACUUCGUAAAAAGCCGUAUGGAAUGACCUACUGUCCAGAUCGGCAGAUUGAAGCUCACACAAGCCUCGUCGUCUUAAAAGAGCAACACUCCAAUGAGGAAACUACAGAAC